UCAGGAACAGGUGGAGAAGCUCAAGGCGCUGCACGUCGACUCUGCCGAGUACAGCUGCCUCAAAGCCAUCGUGCUGUUCACGUCAGGUGAGGAUGCGGUUGCGGGGAGGGCAGGCUGUGCGGUGAGCUGGCACUGGGACCGUGCGGCGGGCGCCUAGCUCCCUGCAGCUCCUGUGCCACCGCUGUCGCUGUGAGGCCGGGCCCUCGAGCCACCGUGGGCCUGCCCAGGGUCUGCAGCCCCGGUACGUGGAUGUCGCCGGCCGCGCCGCUGCCAUCUUGGGAGCGUAGUGGUGCUGGAGCGGAGGAGGCGCGGGUGAGGCCGGCGGCCUGGCCUGAUGGAUGGCCUGGACUCGGCGCGCCCCGAGAGCGAGGCGACUGUGUGUCUGGGGAGGCAGGACACUGGCUCAUCUAGCUGCUGUGUGUGAGCUCUCUGCAUGUGCGUGUGCGUGUGCAUGUGCGCGCGCGUGUGUGAGUGUGUGUGUGUGUGUGUGUGUGUGUGUGUGUGUGUGUGUGUGUACAAGAGCUCAGUGUUUCUGGGGGAGGAACGAUACAGAAGGAAGAAGAAAACGUGGGAAGGUGGCUUCCUAGUCUGCGUGGCACUCUCCUUGGAUGAGUUUCCUGACAGAGAGACACAGACAGAGGCGGAAAGAGAAGAAUACGCACAAAUAAAUCAUAAAUAAUCCCGCUUUAUUGCCUGAUUUUCCCUUAUCGGAAACCAUUCAUGUUUGCAGUUGCUGAGGUUAUUGAGGGUCGUAAAAAAAAGAGAAAGAAAGAAAACGGAUUCGAUAUAAACAAGAAAGAUAAAAAAACAAAAGCAAUACUGUAAAACCCGCAAGCAUGAGAGGACUCCGGGCCGGG
rnacentral:lncRNA from 1 species